CACCGCACCAGGGGAAAACACAACCAGUAAUCAAAGCUGCCAGCCUACAACACACAACGUUCGGGGACACUUCGUUCUCUUUAAGAAAAAGACUUGGGUCUCAGAGGCCGGGAAGAGCACACGUCUGAAGUCCAGUCACA